rnacentral:rRNA from 1 species
GCACAAGCGUGGAGUAUGUGGUUUAAUUCGAAGCAACGCGCAGAACCUUACCUGGUCUUGACAUCCCGAGAAUUUCCUUGAAAGAGGGAAGUGCCUCGCAAGAGGAGCUUGGAGACAGGUGCUGCAUGGCUGUCGUCAGCUCGUGUCGUGAGAUGUUGGGUUAAGUCCCGCAACGAGCGCAACCCUUGUCUUUAGUUGCCAUCAUUUAGUUGGGCACUCUAAAAGAGACUGCCGGUGUCAAACCGGAGGAAGGUGGGGAUGACGUCAAGUCCUCAUGGCCUUUAUGACCAGGGCUACACACGUACUACAAUGGCCGGUACAAAGGGCAGCCACUUAGCGAUAAGGAGCCAAUCCCGUAAAGCCGGUCUCAGUCCGGAUUGGAGUCUGCAACUCGACUCCAUGAAGUUGGAAUCGCUAGUAAUCGCGGAUCAGCACGCCGCGGUGAAUACGUUCCCGGGCCUU